rnacentral:rRNA from 1 species
AUGAAGGCUCUGGCGAUCGAUCCAGAGCUUGAGAAGCUGAUUGCAGAGGCGAGGAAGGAGUCUGCGAUGGCUGGGGAGCGGGAGAGGAUAAAGAUGCUGGCGGAUGCGGCACAAGGGAGGAGCAACGCCAUGGAUCCGGAGGAGGUGAGGAGGAAAACAGUUGAAGCGGAGGAGAUGAAGCAGCUCAAGACUUUGAAGAGGAAGGACGCACAAGUGGCGGCAAAGAAGCUGGAAGCAUCGGAAAUGUUCGACGAAAAGAGAGCCAAGUCGGUGGUGGGAGCAAAGGCGGUGAAAGCAAAGGAGGACACGCACAUUGACGAUAGCUACGAUGAGGCCUCUAUGUAUCGCCAUGGAUGGGAGGAGCUGUGGGCUGCGCUCAUCCCCUCGAUGCGUUACAUGGAUAAACCACCUGCUUCUGAACUCUCCGUCUGCUCCUACAUGCAUACUCUGAACGUCUUUUCAGUUAAACUUGCUGGAAUAGAUGAUUCUCUACGGUGGCCAUUGUAUGUGUUCGGUGUCGUUGCCGCCCGCAACUAUUUGGAUCACAAUCACAAUAUAAUAUUUCUUCGGGACAGGGAUAACUGCCAAAUCAUCCACCAGAAGGAUCCAUAUCUAGAACUAACAGGUCCUACACGUGGUGUUGUGGUGGUGGAUCCUACGGAGUUCGAGGUUAAAUUGAAAGUUAAGGGCUCUACUGAAUCUGAGGAUAGGGAUUUAAGCUUUCUCAUUACACGGUACAAUUGUUACGACUCGGAGAAUCGUUCACGCGUGAUUAAUAGAGUUAUGACUAGCCUGCUUAGUACACUGGAGCUGACAUUUGGCCACAUUGUUCGCUCAGUGGAGGCCACGAUAAGUGUGAGAUUCAUAGGUGGGACAUGGCCAGAUGGUUUCCGAGGUGUAUUUACCGCAAGUACCGCCAGCAUACAUCACAUGAAGGUCACGUUGCUUGCUUAUCGAGAUGGUAAAUUACGUGUUGAUUCCUGUGGCAUGAUCGCGCUUUCACGAGACGUUGCUUGCGUUGAACUUGAUGGAAAGCUGAAAGUUUCUGUCGUGGCGCGAGGUGAAGACAAGGAAGCUGUUGAAGAGAGUGCUGAUAUGGUUUUCACGCCUAAGAAAGCUGGUAGAAGCUGUGGUAUCAUGAAGAUUGGGUCAUGCGCGAUGGAAGUCACUGUGGCCUGGACAACAAUGGAUUCGGUGUGGAAUGAUUGCUAUGGCGACAAUCAUCUUGACAAAUUCAAUGAGUUCAUCGUGUUGUCAGAUUUGGACGAUAAGGAGGCCAAAAUGAUGAUGAUGAUGAGCAUCCAUGAGGAGUUCGCGAAGGCAGAGGCAGGGGCGGAGCCAGGUCGGCAGCUAGCCCCGGGCCGCCUUAGAGCAAUGUCCUAG